CUUAACUCUGGAACUGCCAUCAAAACUUCUUAGCUAGAGUAUGAUAGAGGAAAGCAGAAUUUCUAGUGUAGAGGUGAAAUUCGUAGAUAUUAGAAAGAAUACCAAUUGCGAAGGCAGCUUUUCUGGAUCAUUACUGACGCUGAGGAACGAAAGCAUGGGUAGCGAAGAGGAUUAGAUACCCUCGUAGUCCAUGCCGUAAACGAUGUGUGUUAGACGUUGGAAAUUUUUUUUCAGUGUCGCAGCGAAAGCAUUAAACACACCGCCUGGGGAGUACGACCGCAAGGUUAAAACUCAAAUGAAUUGACGGGGACCCGCACAAGUAGUGGAGCAUGUGGUUUAAUUCGAAGAUACGCGCAGAACCUUACCAACACUUGACAUGUUCGUCGCGACUUUAAGAGAUUAAAGUUUUCGGUUCGGCCGGACGAAACACAGGUGCUGCAUGGCUGUCGUCAGCUCGUGUCGUGAGAUGUUGGGUUAAGUCCCGCAACGAGCGCAACCCUCACUUUUAGUUGCCAUCAUUUAGUUGGGCACUCUGAAAGAACUGCCAGUGAUAAGCUGGAGGAAGGUGGGGAUGACGUCAAGUCCUCAUGGCCCUUACGUGUUGGGCUACACACGUGCUACAAUGGCAUUUACAAUAGGAAGCAAGAUGGCGACGUCAAGCAAAUCCUAAAAAGAUGCCUCAGUUCGGAUUGUACUCUGCAACUCGAGUACAUGAAGCUGGAAUUACUAGUAAUCGCGGAUCAGCGCGCCGCGGUGAAUACGUUCCCGGGUCUUGUACACACCGCCCGUCACACCAUGGGAGUUGGUUCUACCUUAAGGCAAGGUUUCAAACCCUUGACCACGGUAUAGUCAGCGACUGGGGUGAAGUCGUAACAAGGUAACCG
rnacentral:rRNA from 1 species